rnacentral:lncRNA from 1 species
AUGUUUGUAUUUUGCCAAAGCCUGAACUUUCUGCGGAGACAGUUCAGGGAGGUGGAACAGAAAAAAGCCUCAACCCCCCUGCCUGGAAUUCAGCACAGGAAUCGAGCUUGGCCUCAAAUUCCCACCAAGAGCUGGAAAACACAGGUCAGGUCACUGCCAGCACGAUGCCAAUGGCUAAUAUUCUCCAGCCAUACCUCUGCUUCGCAGGACUUUCCCCAAUUUUUUGACUUCUGGCAUUUUUUGUUUCUCCCCUGGAUUUUCUGGAUGACAACGGGAGCCACCAGCAGCAAGCUCAUAACAAGGACUGGGAAUUUAGAGAAAGCGAUGGACAACUGGCACCUGCAAAGAAGAGGCACUGAGGGAAACUGAGGAGCCCAGCCAGGCAUGCACCGAGCCUUGUGGCUGGGGCACACAGCAGCCUUGUGCUGAAGGCGUCCCACCACAUUUACAUUUUAUUUACAUUAUGCUGUAAAGUAAAAAAAAAAUGUUUGUACACGGUUAUUAUUCCCUUUACACAGUGUCUGCCAGGAGACUAUAAAUCCAACAUUUAUCUGGGAAAAUUGCUGUAAAUGGAAAUUAACAAAAUCCUCGAUCUUCAUAAUCAGGGCAACUUCAUGCCCAGGAAUCCCAGGUGGCUUUUUAAGAGGAAAGGGUGAAUCUUUAUGUUUGCAGAGAGCAAGCAGUAGGAGUAUCACUGCUCUAAAAACAUUUAAGCUGCAGACAAGCAUUUCUUCAGAUACUUUAGGCUCAGAUUUACCAUAAAUUUCAAGGUCACCAAGUCUUAUUAUUCCUUCUGUGCCCUAUUAUGUCUGCUAAGCUGGCACCUGUAAAAGUGCAGAAGCAUCAGCACCAAGGCCAAGGGACUCAGCAGCUCUCUUCCAGGGUCCAAAUUGCUGUAAAACUGCGUGCACCAAGCUAACACAGGCUCUGGCAUUUUUAUAGACUGAGGUAGACAGAAGAACAUCUGAAAAUCAAAACCAAAAUAAAAUCUUUGACCUUUCUGCA